rnacentral:lncRNA from 1 species
GUUGUAUAAGCAUUGGCACAUCUCAUUUCCAUGGAGAAUAUUUGGUCUCGCUCCACAGUCACAGUCUAAUGACUUUGAAACUUAUCUUAGUUUAUAUGCAUUGUUUGUGAUUAAAUCAGUUUAAGAUGAACCGCUAAUGUUAAAUCAAUGAUAUUUCAUAUGCAAAUUUGCAAGUAUUGUUUCCAUGAAGAUUAUAUAGCCCCACCCCCUCG